AGCAGCCGCGGUAAUUCCAGCUCCAAUAGCGUAUAUUAAAGUUGUUGCAGUUAAAAAGCUCGUAGUUGAAUUUCGGGAUCAAUAUAUCGGUCGUGCCAUUGGUACGUACUGGUAUCAUUGGUUUCUCCUUUCUGACGAACCAUGAUGUCAUUAAUUUGGUGUUAUGGGAAGUUAGGACUGUUACUUUGAAAAAAUUAGAGUGUUUAAAGCAGGCUUUAGCUUGAAUACAUUAGCAUGGAAUAAUGAAAUAGGACGUUCGAACCUAUUUUGUUGGUUUUUAGGAUCAACGUAAUGAUUAAUAGGGAUAGUUGGGGGCAUUAGUAUUCAAUUGUCAGAGGUGAAAUUCUUGGAUUUAUUGAAGACUAACUACUGCGAAAGCAUUUGCCAAGGAUGUUUUCAUUAAUCAAGAACGAAAGUUAGGGGAUCGAAGACGAUCAGAUACCGUCGUAGUCUUAACCAUAAACUAUGCCGACUAGGGAUCGGAUGAUGUUAAUUUUUUAAUGACUCAUUCGGCGCCUUACG
rnacentral:rRNA from 1 species